rnacentral:lncRNA from 1 species
UCUGUAUCUUCGUCAGGGAGACACUGCUGUUUUCCAACUGGGCCAUCACCGCCGACAUCCUCAUGCACGUGGUCAUCCCCAGCCGGUGUGCCACGGCUGUGGCCUUGCAGAGCUUCACCUCCCACCUGCUGGAGGAUGCCGGGAGCCCCUACCUCAUUGGCAUUAUCUCAGACCUGAUCUGCCAGAGCACCAAGGACUCCCUGCUCUGGGAGUUCCUGAGCCUGGGCUAUGUGCUCAUGCUCUGCCCCUUCGUCGUGGUCCUGGGGGGCAUGUUCUUCCUCGCCAUGGUGCUCUUCUUCCUCAGCGACCGUGCCGAGGCUGAGCAGCAGUGAGUGGGGCUGAGGGGAGGCCUGCUGGGGAGCCCUGCUCGGGGGUGGCGGAGGGGAGACCUGGGUGCACCCAGUGGGUGGCCUGGUUGCUGGGGUCCAGCCCCCGGGCCUCCCCACACCUGUGGGGCUCAGUGCCAGCAUUGGCCUGGAGCUGUGGGGGGCCACAGGGGUGUCUGGUGGGUCCAGGCUUGGACUUGGUGGUUUUUGAAGCUGGGACCCCUCCCCAUUCGUUUUCCUCUCACCUUCUGACUUCUUUCUCCUUUCCUCUUUCCUCCUCUCUCUCCUCUCCCCACCCCUGGGCUCUCCCACCUCCCCCUGGGGCUGACGAGGUCCCUGCCCAGCACCUCCGGUCAGCUGGCCCCCACAACAUGAUGUGCCAGAGCAGUGCCCGGGCCCAGGCCCGGCCCCUGCUGACGCGCCACCCUGACCCCUGCCCGUCGCUCCCCCAGGGUGAACCAGCUGGUGAUGCCGCCCAAAUCUGUGAAAGUCUGAGGUGGUGAGUGCAGGCAGAGAGGCCCUCGGGAAGGGGGAAGGCCAGGGCUAGGUGACAGGGAGCA